rnacentral:rRNA from 1 species
UCAUAUGCUUGUCUCAAAGCUUAAGCCAUGCAAGUGUAAGUUCACGCCACGCAUAAGAACGGGCGAAACCGCGAAUGGCUCAGGAACCGGACCUAAUCCUCGGGACCGUAAUCCUCCUCGGAGGCGAUGGAUAACUGUGGCAAUUCUAGAGCUAAUACAUGUGACACAGGCCGCGAUCGGUCGUCGCGCCGUGGUCGCCUCGCCUUCUUGCGCGCUGGCACCCGCGACGGCCGUCUUGGGUCGCGGCGCUACAUAUUAGACUGAGACCGAUGCGCGUCAAUCCGUCCUCCCGUGCGCGGCUCGAUUCUCCUCACGGGGUUCUCUUGCUGCCGUGCGGGGCCAAAGGGCGGCGCGCUCCGCUUUGGUGACUCUGGAUAACUCACUGGUCGAUCGCACGGGCUUCACGCCCGGCGACGGGUCUCUCGAGGGUCCGCCCUAUCAACUGUCGACGGUCGGUUAAGUGCCUACCGUGGUUACUACGGGUAACGGGGAAUCGGGGUUCGAUUCCGGAGAGGGAGCAUGCGAAACGGCUACCACAUCCAAGGAAGGCAGCAGGCGCGCAAAUUACCCACUCCCGGCACGGGGAGGUAGUGACGAAAAAUAACGACGCGGGACUCUGUCGAGGCCCCGCGAUCGGAAUGAGUACACUUCAAAUCCGUUAACGAGGACCAACCGGAGGGCAAGUCUGGUGCCAGCAGCCGCGGUAAUUCCAGCUCCGGUAGCGUAUAUUAAAGUUGUUGCGGUUAAAAAGCUCGUAGUCCGAAUUCGGGUUCGUGGUCGCUCACGCGGCCCCGGGGCGGCGGCGCCAUCGUCCAUCGUUGACUUUGGUCGUCCGUUCGCAUUCCCGGCCCUUUCCGCCGGUGUCAACCGCUGUAUUGAUGGGGUUCGUUGUCGGGUGGGCGAGUAUGCGGGGCGCCAGUCGGGGCUUCGGUCGCGGUCGCUCGGAGGCUUGGCCGGCGGUGUUCUUUCCGUCGCGUGUUUGCGGUUGGCUGCUUCAUCGUAGCCUCCGUCGCGUUGUCGGUGUUCGCCGCUUCUUCGCUUUCCGUUCGCCGCGUUCCGUUCCCUGUCGAACGCUUCGUUCGUCUCCAUCCGCACCUUCCCUGUCGGCGGUUUCUCCUCCAAGGGUGCUCUUAAUCGAGUGUCCGCGGCGGCCGGUACGUUCACUUUGAAAAAAUUAGAGUGCUCAGAGCGGGCUGUUCAAGCUUGCAUACGAUAAGCAUGGAAUGAUGGAAGAGGGCCUCGUCUACGUCUGUCGGUCUCCGUCUACGGCGAGGCAAUGAUCGAAGGGAGCGGUCGGGGCCACUCGUAUUGCGACGUUAGAGGUGAAAUUCUUGGAUCGUCGCAAGACGAACUGCAGCGAUGGCGUGUGGCAAGCACGUUUUCCUCGAUCAAGAGCGAAAGUCGGAGGUUCGAAGACGAUCAGAUACCGUCGUAGUUCCGACCGUAAACGAUGCCGACCGGCGAUCCGCCGGCGUUCGCUUCCAUGACCCGGCGGGUAGCCUGCGGGAAACCAGAGUUSGGUUCCGGGGGGAGUAUGGUUGCAAAGCUGAAACUUAAAGGAAUUGACGGAAGGGCACCACCAGGAGUGGAGCCUGCGGCUUAAUUUGACUCAACACGGGAAAACUCACCCGGUCCGGACACCGGAAGGAUUGACAGAUCGAUAGCUCUUUCUCGAUUCGGUGGGUGGUGGUGCAUGGCCGUUCUUAGUUGGUGGAGCGAUCCGUCUGGUUGAUUCCGAUAACGAACGAGACUCCGGCCUGCUAACUAGUGCGCCGAUGUAAUUGCGGCGUCCUUCGCGGGCGUCGUGUGCGGGCUCGGAAGUGGGUUUUUUUAAAGCCUUCUCCUUCGGGUCCGGGUCGGUUUCUCACGCACUUCUUAGAGGGACGGGUGGCAGAAAGCCACACGAGGCGGAGCAAUAACAGGUCUGUGAUGCCCUUAGAUGUCCGGGGCCGCACGCGCGCUACACUGGAGGUAUCAGCGGGGACUUCGCCCCGGCCCGAGAGGGUCGGGAAACCUCUCAACCACCUCCCGUGAUAGGGAUCGGGGCCUGUAACCAACCCCGUGAACGAGGAAUUCCCGGUAGGCGCGGGUCAACAGCCCGCGUCGAUCACGUCCCUGCCCUUUGUACACACCGCCCGUCGCUACUACCGAUCGAACGGUCCGGUGAGGUCCUCGGAUCUGGCCGACGACGCCGCCGGGCAGGGCCCUCCUUCGGGGGUGGUCACGCCUCGGCGUUCGAUGCCUGGAGAAGACGACCGAACCCGAUCGUUUAGAGGAAGUAAAAGUCGUAACAAGGUUUCC